NNNNNNNNNNNNNCCCCACCGCCCAGAUUCCCCCCCCCCCAUCCCCCACUUCAACCAAAACAUUUUCCUAAGAUUUAGUAAGGGCGAUUAAAAAAACUUUUGGAGCUAUAAACAUAGUACCGCAAGGGAAAGCUGAAAUAAAAAUGAAACAACUCUCAAGCGCAAAAAAGUAGAGCCUAACCCUCGUACCUUUUGCAUCAUGGUUUAACUAGUCCCACCAAGCAAAAAGAAUUUUAGUUUGAACUCCCGAACCCAGGCGAGCUACCUUAGGACAGCUUAUUCGAGCACACCCGUCUCUGUAGCAAAAGAGUGGGAAAAUCCUAAGAUAGAGGUGAUAAGCCUAACGAGCCUGGUGAUAGCUGGUUGCUCCAAAAAAGGAUUUUAGUCCUACUUAAAAUUUCCUCUGAUCUUCCUUUGAUCUUAUUUUUAAAGCUAUUCAAAUAAGGUACAGCCUAUUUGAAACAGGAUACAACCUUAAUUUAUGGGUAACAUAUUUUAUUCGUAACAAAGUAGGCUUAAAAGCAGCCACCUUAAACAAAAGCGUCAAAGCUUUCUUACUCCCUAAAAUAAUUCUUAUACCUUUCUCUACCCCUAACCCCCUCAUAGAGCAACUCUAUAUCUCUAUAGAAACUUUCAUGUUAAAACUAGUAAUAAGAAGCAGACCCUUCUCUUCAACGCAAGUUUACAUCAGCCUGGACACUCCUCUGAUAAUCAACGUUUAUAAUUUUAAAGUAGAAACUAAACAAGAAAAAUCUACUAAAGCUUACGUUUACCUUACACUAGUGCGUUACAAGAAAGAUUAAAAGAAAAAGAAGGAACUCGGCAAACAUUAGUCUCGCCUGUUUACCAAAAACAUCGCCUCUUGCUCACCCAAUAAGAGGUCCAGCCUGCCCAGUGACAUAUUGUUCAACGGCCGCGGUAUCCUAACCGUGCGAAGGUAGCGUAAUCACUUGUUCUUUAAUUGAGGACUAGUAUGAACGGCUCCACGAAGACUACACUGUCUCCUUUUUCCAAUCAAUGAAACUAAUCUCCCCGUGAAGAAGCGGGGAUGAGCCUAUAAGACGAGAAGACCCUAUGGAGCUUUAAACAACCGAAAUACUUGCUAUUUAACUUUACACCUUCUGAGAGCUAAAUAUAUUUCUAGCACUUUAAUUUCUAGUUUUAGGUUGGGGUGACCACGGAGAACAAACUAACCUCCACGCUGAACGAGCCAUCCUCUUAGCUUAAAGUUACAACUUUACGCAUCAACACAUUGACUUCCAUUGACCCAAUUUUUUGACCAACGAACCAAGUUACCCUAGGGAUAACAGCGCAAUCUUCUUCGAGAGUUCUUAUCGACAAGUAGGUUUACGACCUCGAUGUUGGAUCAGGGUAUCCCAGUGGUGCAGCCGCUACUAAAGGUUCGUUUGUUCAACGAUUAAAACCCUACGUGAUCUGAGUUCAGACCGGAGUAAUCCAGGUCAGUUUCUAUCUAUAAAGAGCUUUUUCUAGUACGAAAGGACCGAAAAAUCAUGGCCUAUGCCUUACUAAGCCAUAAACCCACAAGUUAUGCUAUUAGACUCAAUAACCAAAAAAAUCUCCCACCUCCCUCAAGAAACAGAGACCUUGA
rnacentral:rRNA from 1 species